rnacentral:rRNA from 1 species
UAAUACAGAGGUCUCAAGCGUUGUUCGGAUUCAUUGGGCGUAAAGGGUGCGUAGGUGGUGACGAAAGUCUGGUGUGAAAUCUCGGAGCUUAACUCCGAAAUUGCACCGGAUACUGCGUAACUCGAGGACUGUAGAGGAGAUCGGAAUUCACGGUGUAGCAGUGAAAUGCGUAGAUAUCGUGAGGAAGACCAGUUGCGAAGGCGGAUCUCUGGGCAGUUCCUGACACUG